UCAACAUGAGAGUUUGAUCCUGGCUCAGGACGAACGCUGGCGGCAGGCUUAACACAUGCAAGUCGAGCGAAGACUUCGGUCUUAGCGGCAGACGGGUGAGUAACGCGUGGGAAUCUACCCAACCCUACGGAAUAGCUCCGGGAAACUGGAAUUAAUACCGUAUACGCCCUUCGGGGGAAAGAUUUAUCGGGGAUGGAUGAGCCCGCGUUGGAUUAGCUAGUUGGUGGGGUAAAAGCCUACCAAGGCGACGAUCCAUAGCUGGUCUGAGAGGAUGAUCAGCCACAUUGGGACUGAGACACGGCCCAAACUCCUACGGGAGGCAGCAGUGGGGAAUAUUGGACAAUGGGCGCAAGCCUGAUCCAGCCAUGCCGCGUGAGUGAUGAAGGCCCUAGGGUUGUAAAGCUCUUUCAACGGUGAAGAUAAUGACGGUAACCGUAGAAGAAGCCCCGGCUAACUUCGUGCCAGCAGCCGCGGUAAUACGAAGGGGGCUAGCGUUGUUCGGAAUUACUGGGCGUAAAG
rnacentral:rRNA from 1 species